UACAGAGGGUGCGAGCGUUAAUCGGAAUUACUGGGCGUAAAGCGCGCGUAGGCGGUUUUGCAAGUCGGGUGUGAAAUCCCCAGGCUUAACCUGGGAACUGCAUUCGAGACUGCAUUACUAGAGUAUGGGAGAGGGAAGUGGAAUUUCCGGUGUAGCGGUGAAAUGCGUAGAUAUCGGAAGGAACAUCAGUGGCGAAAGCGACUUCCUGGACCAGCACUGACACUGAGGCACGAAAGCGUGGGGGAGCAAACAGG
rnacentral:rRNA from 1 species